GGUGAAAAACUAGACCGUAAGAUAUGCCCCUUUAUUUUGAAUGUCACUUGAUUUUGGCAUAUUAUAUUGUUCUUCUUUAGCUUAAGUGGAUCUCAAAAGAAUACAAUGCUAGAUAUCAUAAUUAGAAUGUGAGGAAGAUCAAAACUUGAAUUAAGUACAAGUUCAUGCAUGUUUUGAAAUGUACACUUGAUUGUAAGAUUUGAUGAGUUGA
rnacentral:misc_RNA from 1 species